GUCACUGGGGCGGUAGGGUCCUUGCAGCUGGGCAGUUUUCUCCUCAGCCUGUAGCCUGGUAACCACGACCUCUCCGCCAGGUCCUGUGUGUUGCUGGCUGGAGAAGGGUAGUUGAAAACUCAGACCAAGCACAGUGUUUAUUUUGGUCAAAACUAGAAGACUAUGUCCGGGCGCGGCCGAGGCUGGAGGAUCCCUUCAGGCCAAGAGCAACCUAGCAAUAUGGCGCGACCGGAUCUCUGUAGUCCUGCCUCAGCCCCCCAGCUACUUGAACCCCAAAGUUGGAGGCUCCAAUGAGCUAUGAUCCCACCACAGCAUUGCAGCCUGCCAGACUGAGAAAUGGGGUUUCACCAUGUUGGCAAGGCUGGUCUCGAAUUCCUGACCUCAAGUGAUCCACCCACCUCGGCCUCCCAAAGUGCUGGGAUUACAGGCAUGAGCUACCAUGCCCAGCCCCUUCAGACAAAGUUUCACACUUGUUGUUCAGGCUGGAGUUGCAAUCUCAGCUUACCACUACCUCUGUCUCCCAGAUUCAAGAGAUUCUCCUGCCUCAGCCUCCCAAGUAGCUGGGACUAUAG